ensembl:snRNA
ACAAUCCUUUUCUUGGGGUUGCACUACUUUCCAGUGAAUGCAUAGUGACAGAAGUACUACUGCCUACACAACACACCUGCAUCAACUAGAGCUUUGCUUUACCUUGGUGCAAUUUUUGGAAAA